UACGGGGGGGGCGAGCGUUGUCCGGAUUUACUGGGCGUAAAGCGCGUGUAGGCGGCGAUUUAAGUCCGGGGUGAAAGGCGGGGGCUCAACCCCCGAGCGGCAACGGAAACUGGAUCGCUUGAGUGUCGGAGAGGGGAGUGGAAUUCUCGGUGUAGCGGUGAAAUGCGUAGAGAUCGAGAGGAACACCCGUGGCGAAGGCGGCUCCCUGGCCGAACACUGACGCUGAGACGCGAAAGCGCGGGGAGCGAACGGG
rnacentral:rRNA from 1 species